UACGUAGGGGGCAAGCGUUGUCCGGAAUCAUUGGGCGUAAAGAGCGUGUAGGCGGUCCGAUAAGUCCGCUCUGAAAGCCCGGGGCUCAACCCCCGGGAGGCGGGCGGAUACUGUCGGGCUAGAGUCCGGAAGAGGCAAGUGGAAUUCCUGGUGUAGCGGUGAAAUGCGUAGAUAUCGGAAGGAACAUCAGUGGCGAAAGCGACUUCCUGGACCAAUACUGACGCUCAUGUGCGAAAGCGUGGGGAGCAAACAGG
rnacentral:rRNA from 1 species